AGCAGUGUGGCCUAGUGGAAAGAGCAUGGCCUGGGAGUCAGAGAACCUGGGUUCUAACCCCAGCUCUGCCA
rnacentral:tRNA from 1 species